AGAAGGAAAAAGCUUGAAUCCCAUCAAAUUUCUUAGUGUACCCCAUCAAAAGUCUCCAGAAAAAUUGUUUCAAUAAUAGAAGUGGGGUGAUUAUCUUCUGGAAAAAAAUUUCCAAAUUUAUCUUAAUGUGUUUCGGAAAAUGAAUUCCAGAAUAAUAAGGUGUUGGAAUAUGGUGCAGCAAGUAACAUCUGGGAAUAGUGGAAACUCAGUGUGAGGAGAAAUGGUAUAAUGGUUUAAAUCUAAUUUACUGAAGGGUAUUUGAGGGAUUAAAAGUUUUAUUGGGUGCAAGGAGAAAAAAAAGGGAGGUACAGGAAAAAUGGCAGAAUUUCAAAUUUAGAAAUAACCAAAAAAAGAAAACAAAAGAGGAUCUAAGUCAAAGGCAUGCAUAAUCACUAAUUUGGUUUUGAAGAUCUCUAAGUGAAACAAAUGAAACAAACAG
rnacentral:lncRNA from 1 species